rnacentral:rRNA from 1 species
UACAGAGGUCUCAAGCGUUGUUCGGAUUCAUUGGGCGUAAAGGGCGCGCAGGCGGCUCAUUUUGUCAGGCGUGAAAGCCCCGGGCUUAACCUGGGAACUGCGUUUGAUACGGAUGGGCUAGAGUUCGGGAGAGGAGAGUGGAAUUCCCAGUGUAGAGGUGAAAUUCGUAGAUAUUGGGAAGAACACCGGUGGCGAAGGCGGCUCUCUGGACCGAGACUGACGCUGAGGCGCGAAAGCGUGGGGAGCAAACAGG